AAUUUCCUGAGGUGUUCGACACUCUUGUUAUUUUGAACCUACAUCUUUUAAUUGGGAAUCCUAUAUUUUUAAGUCGAUGUUAAGCCAUCGUUUGUAGUGGAAAACAAAAACUUAUUUGCGGUAUCCCACCUAGCAUUGCUAGGACUCAAAAUGCAAGAAACGGCACUUUGGGCAUUUA
rnacentral:other from 1 species